rnacentral:ribozyme from 11 species
AUGCCGAGAGAAAGAAAGAAAAAAGAUCGAGAAAGCGAAGCAAAUUCGUUUGCGUGUCUGAUCUCUCUGUCUGUCCAGUCUCCUCACGUCAUCUCACUCUCUUUCAAUCUUCCUUUUUCCCUUUCCU